rnacentral:rRNA from 1 species
GAUGAACGCUGGCGGCGUGCCUAAUACAUGCAAGUCGAGCGAACAGACGAGGAGCUUGCUCCUCUGACGUUAGCGGCGGACGGGUGAGUAACACGUGGAUAACCUACCUAUAAGACUGGGAUAACUUCGGGAAACCGGAGCUAAUACCGGAUAAUAUAUUGAACCGCAUGGUUCAAUAGUGAAAGACGGUUUUGCUGUCACUUAUAGAUGGAUCCGCGCCGCAUUAGCUAGUUGGUAAGGUAACGGCUUACCAAGGCAACGAUGCGUAGCCGACCUGAGAGGGGGAACGGCCCCCCGGGACCUGGAACACGGUCAAACCCCCUAGGGGAGGCAGGAGAGGGGAAGCUUCCGAAAUGGGGGAAAGCUUAACGGGGAAACGCCGGGUGAGUGAAGAAGGUCUUCGGAUCGUAAAACCCUGUUAUUAGGGAAGAAAAAAUGGGUAAGUAACGAUGCACGUCUGGACGGUACCGAAGCAGAAAGCCACGGCUAACUACGG